UCUCCGCAGCGGCUCCCUCAUGGGCGCCACGUCCUGUCCCGCUCUUCCAGGAGCUCGGGAAGCGCAUCCCAGGCCCCCGUGUCCCCGGCAGCGGGGCAGGAAGGCUCCAGUGGCUGCACCGAGAGCAGCAGCACCGAGAGCUGCAGCAGCCGGGAGAGCCCCUGGCUGCCCAUGCUGCUGCUCAAGGCCAAGCUGCCACCCUCAGCAGGCUCUGCCCGUCCUUCCCAGCCACUUCUGCCUGGCCUCUGGGCACGGCGAUGGGCUGGGGACACUCAUCAGCCACCGUGCUGUCCCCAAAGGCCGGGAUGUCACAGAAUCAUGGAAUCAGUUGGGGUGGAAGAGCUCUGUGAGAUCACUGAGUCCAACCUGGGACCCAGCUCCACCAGUGGCAACCAGACCAGAGCUUUCAGUGGCUCACCCAGGCUUUGCUUGAACACCUGCCACAGUGAAUCUAACACCCACCUGGGCAGCCCAUUCCAAUAUCUGAUUACUCUUUAUGAGAAGAAAUUCUUCCUAAUGUCCAACCCAAACCUCCCCUGAUUUUGGGCUGUGAAAUGCUUCACCCAUCUCCUUCCUGGGUUCAAUCCACUCUCUCAAGCAGUGCCUAUUUACACCCCUAUGACUUCCAUCUUCAGUUCUGCAGCACAGUUUGUCCUGCUGAUUUUUAAGCCUUCAAGACUACAAGGACAUGCCUCAAAUACACUGCAAAUUAUCUGAA